UGGGGAAUAUUGGACAAUGGGCGAAAGCCUGAUCCAGCCAUGCCGCGUGAGUGAUGAAGGCCCUAGGGUUGUAAAGCUCUUUUAACGGGGAAGAUAAUGACGGUACCCGUAGAAUAAGCCCCGGCUAACUUCGUGCCAGCAGCCGCGGUAAUACGAAGGGAGCUAGCGUUGCUCGGAAUCACUGGGCGUAAAGCGCACGUAGGCGGACUCUUAAGUCGGUGGUGAAAUCCUGGAGCUCAACUCCAGAACUGCCUUCGAUACUGGGAGGCUCGAGGUCGGGAGAGGUGAGUGGAACUGCGAGUGUAGAGGUGAAAUUCGUAGAUAUUCGCAAGAACACCAGUGGCGAAGGCGGCUCAUUGGCCCGAUACUGACGCUGAGGUGCGAAAGCGUGGGGAACAAACA
rnacentral:rRNA from 1 species